GUAAACCAGUAGAAGAGUUUAAAUAAGUCGAUCAUAACUAACAAGUUCUAUUUUGGUUGACAUAUAUGCUUUUGGAAUGUGUAUAUCGAAUGAUCUUCAUAUCUCUGAUUGUUUACAUAAUUUGCAUCUUGGUGAUCACAUAGAGAUUCAGUGGAGGAGAAAUAAAGAAUAUCCUUGUGGUAUGAUAGUGGGAGCAUCGACUUCGUCUGAGAAUGAGUGAUGUUCUUCUCUUAACGGCUGAUGAGAUCAUGAUUCACUGCAGUCACCGGCUUGUUACCUGUAAUCAAAAUGAUAAGCAAGUUGGUGCUUCAUAUAUCCUGAUGCUUUCUGAAAAUCCAGGCAUAUCUGAAGAAGAAAAGAAACGUCUUAUGUACUGUGUGGUUAUUGGAGGUGGUCCUACAGGGGUGGAAUUUAGUGGGGAAUUGAGUGAUUUCAUCACGAAAGUCUUUGUCACUCAAGUUUUAAACUACGUCUUCUGCAUAUCUAAAGUCUUUGUCACUCAAGUUUUUAUAUUUAGUUUUGGUUCAGGUUUAUUAGAUAUAUAAUGUACUUAGUCAAUCAUAUACUGAUGCUAUUGUCAUUGAUGUGUAGACAAUAAAAUAAUUUGUAUUCAUAAAA